CUUCUCCACUGCAGCUACACUGAGACGUAAUCACUCCUAACACAGCGAGCGCUCAUUCCCCUCCGAAUCUUCUCAUAUGCUGACCACGUUCCCUGGGAAUCCACCACGAAAUGUUCACAUACCUCGCUUCGUCACUUUUCUCUUCCGCCUCUUUCCUCAGAGAAGCUUUUUCUGACUCCCGGAGGAGAUGGGCGAAGAUGCACUACCGGGACUCCCUCCCUUCGUAACAUUUGCCAAUCUGGGACUGCACAUUUGUAUUCUUGCUUACCAGAGACUGAUUAUUUCACACUGGAUUUCCUGGGACUGCCAUUAUCUGCCACAUACCUAGGGCCUGUGUAGCUGUACAUUUCCUGGAAGGCAGAGGCAAGCAUCUCUCUGCAGGGGGAGACAGACACAAGUCUCUAAGCACAAGGAUGAGGGCCACCAACCAGACAGACUGCGUAAUCCACAUCCUUGUCAAGUGCCUACUUCUGGGAUUACCACACUGAGAUACUGAAGAACUUUAUGCUCAUUUGUUUGAUUGCUAGUUUGAACUUCAACAUGGCCUCUCCCCAGGUCACCAGCUGUAGCUUCAGAAGCAGAAGCUGACUCCUCAGAUAGGAUUUUCUCCAUCCUAUAAGGCAAUCUGUUUUAUAAAUCAAAUAGCAACCCUUCAUUGAACAUCCAGUGGCACUGUAUCAAGUACUGAGAGCUGCACAUCCAAUGAAAGAGAAAGAGAAAAUUACUCAUCACAAGGCCAGUCUUAAGAGCAGCAAUCAUCAAGUUCAGAUCUAUUGUUUAUUACUCGGGAUUUAUUUAGGUCUACUACAUGCUAUGCACAUUGCUAGACAUUGACCAUGUAAAGGUUAAUCAAACCCUGCCCCUGCCCUUGUGUAGUUUAAAAUCUAGUGGUGGAGAAAGAGAGGUAGGAAAGGACAAGGGGUACAGAAGCAGAUACUUUUUAACAGAAGAUGGUCCCUGAGGUGGCUCUCAUAGGCACCUGACUCAGAGCAGGGAUGAGUCACAUAGCACUUCCUGGGGGAGACCCAUCCACCCAUCCACCCUCUUUUGCAUGCAGCCAUAUUCCCGCCAUCUCUGCUGCAAUCCAGGUGCAAGCUAGGAGCUCAGAUUCCUACUGGUGAACCACACAGCUGCGGUCCCCACAUGAAACCAGAGCUAAGUCUUAGAAGAUGCCUGAAAGUUAGCCAGAAAAAGAGGAGGGAGGAAGCCAUCUGGAUGGAGAGUGAGGCACAGGCACAGCCAGAGAGGCACAAAGCAGCACUUUGGGUUGAGGUGUGUCUGCUGUGUGUGUGUUUGUGGGGUGGAUUAGCAUUGCUGGGACAAAGACACUGAGAAGGGCAUGGGGCUGAGCUUCAGGGAGGUCCAGGAACCAUCUCCAAGUGGCUGGGACUCACAAGAUGUUUCAGGGACACAGAAGAGAGGGCUGGAGAACACUGGGGAUGCAAGAGAUCCUCCGGAGAGGACUGCAGAGGCUGCAGCACUGCAGCUGGGCCUGCAUGGUAGGAGGAUCUCAUGUGGGAGAUAGGAGACCCCAGAAGAGCAGCUAACUGUGUGAUGCAUGCUCUGCCCCUGGGUGCAAAGAGCAGCAUGCCAGUGAGUGUUCUUCGGCGAACAUGGUUCUCCAGGGUGAGAGUCAAGGCUGCCACGGAGUCAUACAGUGCUCAUUCUCCUGGGCUAAAUGUCAUUUGGGCACUGCUGAGAAGCCCUGACCUACAAGGGAAUCUGCCUCCCUUUAACCAAACCCUGGAAAAGCAUCCAUUUAGAUAGUUGUUCCUUUAGAUAGUGU
ensembl:lncRNA